UAGCAAAUUAAUUAAAGCCAAGGAGGAGGCUGUGGGAACCACCGAUCUAUAGUCUAUCAGAAGCACAGGUGACAACCUGGACUUGCGAUUGGCAUCUGAAGGAGGAGGGAUAGCCUUACAGGGCUGAGCCCUUAACCUGUGGAGUCUGAUGUUAUCUCCAGAAAUUCCUUUCCAAAAGAUGGCAAUCAGGGAUAUACUACAAAAGCAUCCUGUAACAGAAAUAAUGAGACUAAUGCUGGGAAAAAAUGAAGUUUCUUCAAGAAUGGGAGACCACUAAUUGAGAAGAAUUAAAAUCUAUAUUUUGUUUUGAUUAGACUGGAAACAUUUUGUUAUGGAAUUAGUUUCAAAUUGUAAAGUUUGGAAUGCUUCCAAUUUCUUGAAAUUGUCUUAUAUGAGGGAAGACAGAUUUUCCCCAGAUAUGAGAUGAAAGAUUUUAUAUUAGAUAUACAGAGAGAAAUCCAUUUUGCCAAAAUAAGUCACUUGGGCACAGUCAGCACUUUGUCAUAUUGCAAAACUCAGUGAACACAUACAUACAUACACACAUACACACCCUCCUAUCAAAAAGAAAAAAACACACGUACACAACAUAUUCACUAUCUGCCAAUUUCAAAAAAAAAAUCUUGCAAUAUACUCUAAAGUAUGCAUAUCUUACUUUUAGACAC